rnacentral:rRNA from 1 species
CCAAUAGCGUAUAUUAAAGUUGCUGCAGUUAAAAAGCUCGUAGUUGAAUUUCGGGAUCAUCAUGUCGGUCGUGCCUCGGUACGUACUGGCAUCGUUGAUUUCUCCCUUCUGACGAACCAUGAUGUCAUUUAUUUGGUGUUGUGGGGAAUCAGGACUGUUACUUUGAAAAAAUUAGAGUGUUUAAAGCAGGCUCACGCUUGAAUACAUUAGCAUGGAAUAAUGAAAUAGGACGUUUGAUUCUAUUUUGUUGGUUUCUAGGAUCGACGUAAUGAUUAAUAGGGGUAGUUGGGGGCAUUAGUAUUCAAUUGUCAGAGGCGAAAUUCUUGGAUUUAUUGAAGACUAACUACUGCGGAAGCAUUUGCCAAGGAUGUUUUCAUUAAUCAAGAACGAAAGUUAGGGGAUCGAAGACGAUCAGAUACCGUCGUAGUCUUAACCAUAAACUAUGCCGACUAGGGAUCGGAUGAUGUUAAUUUUUUAAUGACUCAUUCGGCGCCUUACG